rnacentral:rRNA from 1 species
UACGGGGGGAGCAAGCGUUGUUCGGAUUUACUGGGCGUAAAGGGCGCGUAGGCGGCGCGACAAGUCACUUGUGAAAUCUCCGGGCUUAACUCGGAGCGGCCAAGUGAUACUGUCGUGCUAGAGUGCGGAAGGGGCAACUGGAAUUCUCGGUGUAGCGGUGAAAUGCGUAGAUAUCGAGAGGAACACCUGCGGCGAAGGCGGGUUGCUGGGCCGACACUGACGCUGAAGCGCGAAAGCCAGGGGAGCGAACAGG